rnacentral:rRNA from 1 species
UAACACAUGCAAGUCGAGGGGCAGCAUUUCAGUUUGCUUGCAAACUGGAGAUGGCGACCGGCGCACGGGUGAGUAACACGUAUCCAACCUGCCGAUAACUCGGGGAUAGCCUUUCGAAAGAAAGAUUAAUACCCGAUGGCAUAAUUAGACCGCAUGGUCUUAUUAUUAAAGAAUUUCGGUUAUCGAUGGGGACGCGUUCCAUUAGGCAGUUGGUGAGGUAACGGCUCACCAAACCUUCGAUGGAUAGGGGUUCUGAGAGGAAGGUCCCCCACAUUGGAACUGAGACACGGUCCAAACUCCUACGGGAGGCAGCAGUGAGGAAUAUUGGUCAAUGGGCGCAGGCCUGAACCAGCCAAGUAGCGUGAAGGAUGACUGCCCUAUGGGUUGUAAACUUCUUUUAUAUGGGAAUAAAGUUUUCCACGUGUGGAAUUUUGUAUGUACCAUAUGAAUAAGGAUCGGCUAACUCCGUGCCAGCAGCCGCGGUAAUACGGAGGAUCCGAGCGUUAUCCGGAUUUAUUGGGUUUAAAGGGAGCGUAGGUGGACAGUUAAGUCAGUUGUGAAAGUUUGCGGCUCAACCGUAAAAUUGCAGUUGAUACUGGCUGUCUUGAGUACAGUAGAGGUGGGCGGAAUUCGUGGUGUAGCGGUGAAAUGCUUAGAUAUCACGAAGAACUCCGAUUGCGAAGGCAGCUCACUGGACUGCAACUGACACUGAUGCUCGAAAGUGUGGGUAUCAAACAGGAUUAGAUACCCUGGUAGUCCACACAGUAAACGAUGAAUACUCGCUGUUUGCGAUAUACAGUAAGCGGCCAAGCGAAAGCAUUAAGUAUUCCACCUGGGGAGUACGCCGGCAACGGUGAAACUCAAAGGAAUUGACGGGGGCCCGCACAAGCGGAGGAACAUGUGGUUUAAUUCGAUGAUACGCGAGGAACCUUACCCGGGCUUAAAUUGCAUUUGAAUAUAUUGGAAACAGUAUAGCCGUAAGGCAAAUGUGAAGGUGCUGCAUGGUUGUCGUCAGCUCGUGCCGUGAGGUGUCGGCUUAAGUGCCAUAACGAGCGCAACCCUUAUCUUUAGUUACUAACAGGUCAUGCUGAGGACUCUAGAGAGACUGCCGUCGUAAGAUGUGAGGAAGGUGGGGAUGGCGUCAAAUCAGCACGGCCCUUACGUCCGGGGCUACACACGUGUUACAAUGGGGGGUACAGAAGGCGGCUACCUGGUGACAGGAUGCUAAUCCCAAAAGCCUCUCUCAGUUCGGAUCGAAGUCUGCAACCCGACUUCGUGAAGCUGGAUUCGCUAGUAAUCGCGCAUCAGCCAUGGCGCGGUGAAUACGUUCCCGGGCCUUGUACACACCGCCCGUCAAGCCAUGAAAGCCGGGGGUACCUGAAGUACGUAACCGCAAGGAGCGUCCUAGGGUAAAACUGGUAAUUGGGGCUAAGUC